rnacentral:rRNA from 1 species
GAUGAACGCUAGCUACAGGCUUAACACAUGCAAGUCGAGGGGCAGCACAGUGUAGCAAUACAUGGGUGGCGACCGGCGCACGGGUGCGUAACGCGUAUCCAACCUUCCCGUUACUCAGGAAUAGCCUUCCGAAAGGGAGAUUAAUACCUGAUGGUGUUCAAAUUCCGCAUGUUAUUUGAACUAAAGAUUUAUCGGUAACGGAUGGGGAUGCGUGACAUUAGGUAGAUGGCGGGGUAACGGCCAACCAUGCCUACGAUGUCUAGGGGUUCUGAGAGGAAGGUCCCCCACACUGGAACUGAGACACGGUCCAGACUCCUACGGGAGGCAGCAGUGAGGAAUAUUGGUCAAUGGCCGGAAGGCUGAACCAGCCAAGUAGCGUGAAGGAUGAAGGUUCUAUGGAUUGUAAACUUCUUUUAUACGGGAAUAAAACCUCCCACGUGUGGGAGCUUGUAUGUACCGUAUGAAUAAGCAUCGGCUAACUCCGUGCCAGCAGCCGCCGUAACAC